rnacentral:rRNA from 2 species
AAUACUGGCCAGAGACCGAUAGCGCACAAGUAGAGUGAUCGAAAGAUGAAAAGCACUUUGAAAAGAGAGUUAACAGUAUGUGAAAUUGUUGAAAGGGAAGCGCUUGCAACCAGACUUGAGCCCGUCGGUUCCCCCUCGCUUCUGCGUGGGCUACUCCGGCGGGUCCAGGCCAACAUCGGUUCGGGUGGCUGGUCAAAGGCCCUGGGAAUGUACCUCGCCUCCGGGCUUGGCUUAUAGCCCAGGGCGUCAUGCGGCCUACCUGGACCGAGGAACGCGCUUCGGCUCGGAUGUUGGCGUAAUGGUUGUCAGCGACCCGUCUUGAAACACGGACCAAGGAGUCGAAGAGCUAUGCGAGUGUUUGGGUGUCAACCCGUGCGCGUAAUGAAAGUGAACGGAGGUAGGAAGCUUCGGCUGCACUAUCGACCGAUCCUGAUGUUCUCGGAUGGAUUUGAGUAAGAGCAUAACUCUCCGGACCCGAAAGAUGGUGAACUAUGCCUGAAUAGGGUGAAGCCAGAGGAAACUCUGGUGGAGGCUCGCAGCGGUUCUGACGUGCAAAUCGAUCGUCAAAUUUGGGUAUAGGGGCGAAAGACUAAUCGAACCAUUAGCUACUCAGGUGGUUGAUUGCAGCCUGAAAGGGCCGAAGCAAGUCCCGGGUUCUGGGGCAACAUCGUCAAAGUGCGGGGACCUCCUAAAGCCUCUACCACCAAGCGGCGCUCCGAAAGGGAGCCCGUGGCCACGUCAAUAGCGUCGGGUACGGUAAAAGUGUAGAGUGAUGUUACAAUGGAUGAUCCGCAGCCAAGUCCUAAGGGCCACAGUGCCUAUGGAUGCUGUUCAUCGACUGGAUGGCGAUGGGCCCCGGGCACAGGAGGUGCCCGGGGUUUAAGGUACAGUCAGUCCCCCGGGGAGACCUGGGCGUACUUCGCUAAACCCGUGGCGGGUGAAACCCCCUCUCCACGAGAGGGCCGCCGUGGGCCCGAACGGUACGGGUGCCUCUAGCAGGUGCCGGGUCAGACGCUGGUAGCUGGUUCCUGCCGAAGUUUCCCUCAGGAUAGCAGUAACGUUUUCAGUUUUAUGAGGUAAAGCGAAUGAUUAGAGGCCUUGGGGUUGAAACAACCUUAACCUAUUCUCAAACUUUAAAUAUGUAAGAAGUCCUUGUUACUUAGUUGAACGUGGACAUUUGAAUGUAUCGUUACUAGUGGGCCAUUUUUGGU